AAGUAGGUAGCUUAACCUUUGGGAGGGCGCUUACCACUUUGUGAUUCAUGACUGGGGUGAAGUCGUAACAAGGUAACCGUAGGGGAACCUGCGGUUGGAUCACCUCCUUACCUUAAAGAAGC
rnacentral:rRNA from 1 species